rnacentral:lncRNA from 7 species
ACAUCUUUUCUUCUAGCCCUUUGCUAGUAAUUUCUUUUUUAUUUAGGGAGUUGGCAUUAUUUAUUUUUGUGGCCCUAGAUCCCUCUUCUUAAUCACAUUCUUUGAAUUUAUCUGCUUGAAAACCAGUAAACGUAACUAGAAGAAUAUAUUUUUCUAUUAUUUUACAAGGAAAAACCAAAAAAAAUGCUAUAUAACUGCAGUAUUGAUCAGCUGUGGCCAUGGAAGUAAAUUUACCCUCCCUGCAUAAAAUAAAUACCUGGAAAAACUGACUUCAAGUUUAACUCAGUUCAGAGUGAUGCAUUUAGUUGACAUUGAUAAACUGACAAAAUAAAAUCCAUUUCUCCUCAAGUCAUGGGACAACAGUCAAGUGUUCCAGUAUGUGUAACCCAGGAAGGACUGGGAAAUCAGCUUUGCUCUGUUGGGUUGAUGCAGUUGUGCGGCAUCUUUUGUAUCAGGGCUUCUAGUGAACUGUCUGCCACAGAACAAACUGGACAUAGUGUCUGAGCAGGAUACGCUUCUCAGACUGUGUAUCCUAAGCGUAAAAAAGUCUCAAAUCUCCCUCUGCAUGGUUUAUCUCCAUUGCCACCAUGGACACUUACCUCCCAGUCAUCAUUUCCAGGGUCUCUGUGUACGCUUUCAUAUGUGAUGAAUCCAAAGCCAGAAGCUGAGCACUCUAAGCAAGGGUGCCACGUGCUUCAAAAACACCACAGAGAAAAAAAAGAUAUAUAUCUUUCAAUCAGAAGGCAAAUAAGGAGAUAAAUUUGAGCAGGUAAAUAAAGACAGGGCAAUAGCUCUGACAAAGU